rnacentral:rRNA from 1 species
UAAGUGGAUAGUAAAACCUGGUGGCUCAACCAUUCAGACUAUUAUCCAAACUGCUAAGCUCGAGAAUGGUAGAGGUAGCUGGAAUUUCCUGUGUAGGAGUGAAAUCCGUAGAUAUAGGAAGGAACACCGAUGGCGUAGGCAGUCUACUGGCUCAUUUCUGACACUAAGGCACGAAAGCGUGGGGAGCGAACGGGAUUAGAUACCCCGGUAGUCCACGCCGUAAACGAUGGGUGCUA